rnacentral:rRNA from 1 species
ACUCCUACGGGAGGCAGCAGUGGGGAAUAUUGCACAAUGGGCGCAAGCCUGAUGCAGCCAUGCCGCGUGUAUGAAGAAGGGCCUUCGGGUUGAUAAAGUACUUUUCAGCAGUGAGGAAGGUGGGUAUGUUAAUAGCAUAUUAUUUGACGUUAGCUGCAGAAGAAGCACCGGCUAACUCCGUGCCAGCAGCCGCGGUAAUACGGAGGGUGCGAGCGUUAAUCGGAAUUACUGGGCGUAAAGCGCAUGCAGGUGGUUUGUUAAGUCAGAUGUGAAAGCCCGGGGCUCAACCUCGGAAUUGCAUUUGAAACUGGCAAACUAGAGUACUGUAGAGGGGGGUAGAAUUUCAGGUGUAGCGGUGAAAUGCGUAGAGAUCUGAAGGAAUACCGGUGGCGAAGGCGGCCCCCUGGACAGAUACUGACACUCAGAUGCGAAAGCGUGGGGGAGCAAACAGGAUUAGAUA